rnacentral:rRNA from 1 species
GAAAUAAUUGGGCCCAAAGGCGCGCCAGCGCGGAGAGCGCACGAGAGCCAAAAUACUUCGCUCCAGAGACUUAGCGGCCGCCCCAGAUCUAGCCCAAAUCACCAUCUGCUCCAACCCUAGCCGCCGCCAACACGAGACGACGCCGAGCACCCACCACUGCCCGACCCCAGCCGCCCCUGACCACCCAUCGCAGCAGCUGUCCUCUCGGACCACCGCCGCCGCCGAGCACCCUCCUCCGUCGCCGUCAAGUACCCUCCUACACAGAUCUCGUCCGCGCUCCACCCAUCCCCAGCGCCGCCCAUCCCCAGCGCCGCCCAGAUGUCGCCUCUCCUUCCAUGCUUUCUCCCCGGGCAGCACUGUCUCUCCUAGGGUUUGCGCCACCGACCAUCCUAGUCGCCCCCCUCCCGUGCGUGCUCACCUCGACGUCAUGCUCUCCAGCCUAUCGUCCUUCGUCCGUGCUCCUCCGACCUCCCCCUUUUGUACUUCGAGCGUGAGGUAUGGUCCUGGUGCUUCCCGUUCUCUUGUAUUCUUUACUGUUCUUUCAAUUUUUCCAAUGAUUUGUAACACACAUGAGCACAUCUGCCAAAUCUUCUUCCUCUGCUUUGAGGAAAAUAGCAGAGCACUCUGAUGGAAGAACGUAUCUGGGACAGUCAGCCUCAGCCAGUGAAGACUAUAGCUCUAGGAAUAGUUGCCGCAUUGUUUUACUGGUAAAUACUUGUGACAAAGUGCUAUUUUCAGCUGUAAACAUUCAGCCUACACUAUGUACUGCAUGUUUUACUAAUAAUUGCUGCCUGGUAUCUUGUCUGACCUGAAACAUAUGGUCACUUUAGUAAUAGCAACAUCAAAGUAGAAAUUGGGUUGGGCAAGGAAUUCAUGAUUCUGGCCCAACUUUUGUUAGAUGUGUAAAUUGAAAAAUGUUUGUCAACUAUGAUUAUUUUGUUUCAAAUAAUAACACGUAAAAACCUUGUUUUGUUUGCAUGUUAUGGUUUAGGAGGUUGAACAGAAUAUUAAGACGCAUAAUAAGUACCUGUCUUAUUUGCUCAUGAAAAUGUUUGAUCUUAACAUAGGAGCAUGAUCUGACCCCAUGCGUAUGUUAGCAGUCUGGUUUUCAUGCCUUUUGUGAAUGCAAAGUGGCACUUGAUGCAUAGCUAGUGUCAAAAGACCUUCAUAAUUUGGACUGCUAAUUCUCGUGGAUUAUCUAUCUGUUUGUUUGAAACUGCUGUGCAUUGCCAACAUAUUUCUUCCAGCAAUUUUGCAGUUGGAUUCCUUUCUUUCCAAGUUUAAUUGUGUCAUUCUUGUAAUUUCUUUACCGUGCUAUGCAAAAUGAACCAUCUUUUGGUGGUGCUUGAGUCAUGGGCAUAGAUGCAUCUAACCAAAUAAUGCUUGCUUCUGGGAAGGCACCUAGUGUAGGUGGAGAACAUGUUCUAAGAAAGGUAUAGUACAUUUAAAUCUCGUUCUUUGCCAAAUCUUCUGAUACUGAAGUUGUCAAGGAUAUAUGCAUCUGGUCCAUACAUAACACUGUCACUGAUAACAGCGGCUCCAAAAAGAUUUUUCCGCUUCUACUAUGGGACCUUGCAUGUGGGAUGAUGAGGGCAAUCAAAGCAGGUUUUCAAAGACACACAAGUUGAUGGAGGUUUGCAAGAUCUACAUACAAGCGGUUGACGGUUUGGAAGUUCUACAGCGGCUGAAGGUUUGGAGGACAUACAAUUAAGUUGGUGUAGUGAUAAUGUAGUGCACCUAGUUUGUUGAACCUGGAGACAUUGGCAAGUUCUGCUUAUUUUGGUGGUUGUUUUGGUACACAAGCCAUUGGAUGCUCAUUUUGGUUGUGUGGCACAUCUAGAAACAUACGUACUUUUUUGUGCCAGCACAAGUCCUUAUGUAUGGUUGUUUCCUAUAUGUAUGUAUCCAGAAACAUAUGUAUCUGGCAUGUUAUGUUUAUAUUGAAGGAAGUUUAAGGUUUUUAAUGAG